GCGGGUGUAGCUCAGUGGUAGAGCGUCACGUUGCCAACGUGAAUGUCGUCGGUUCAAGCCCGAUCACCCGCU
rnacentral:tRNA from 1 species